rnacentral:rRNA from 1 species
GACGAACGCUGGCGGCGUGCCUAAUACAUGCAAGUCGAGCGCAGGAAGUCAUCCGAACCCUUCGGGGGGACGUUGACGGAAUGAGCGGCGGACGGGUGAGUAACACGUAAAGAACCUGCCCUCAGGUCUGGGAUAACCACGAGAAAUCGGGGCUAAUACCGGAUGGGUCAUCGGACCGCAUGGUCCGAGGAUGAAAGGCGCUCCGGCGUCGCCUGGGGAUGGCUUUGCGGUGCAUUAGCUAGUUGGUGGGGUAAUGGCCCACCAAGGCGACGAUGCAUAGCCGACCUGAGAGGGUGAUCGGCCACACUGGAACUGAGACACGGCCCAGACUCCUACGGGAGGCAGCAGUAGGGAAUCUUCCACAAUGGACGAAAGUCUGAUGGAGCAACGCCGCGUGAACGAUGAAGGCCCUCGGGUCGUAAAGUUCUGUUGUAAGGGAAGAACAAGUGCCGCAGGCAAUGGCGGCACCUUGACGGUACCUUGCGAGAAAGCCACGGCUAACUACGUG